rnacentral:rRNA from 1 species
UACGUAGGGUGCGAGCGUUGUCCGGAAUUACUGGGCGUAAAGAGCUCGUAGGUGGUUUGUCGCGUUGUCCGUGAAAUUCCCUGCUUAACUGGGGGCGUGCGGGCGAUACGGGCAGACUGGAGUACUGCAGGGGAGACUGGAAUUCCUGGUGUAGCGGUGGAAUGCGCAGAUAUCGGGAGGAACACCAGUGGCGAAGGCGGCGAUCUGGGCAGAUACUGACGCUGAGGUGCGAAAGCGUGGGGAGCAAACAGG